rnacentral:rRNA from 1 species
AUGGUCAAAGAUUGGCUUGGUAUUCAUGAUGUGCAUCCUUCUGAUUGGAGUGGCGCGACUUCUAUCAAAGAGUGGUGGAAACACAAUGCUAACAAAAAGACUCAAUCACGAAGGCCACUUGCUUCCUUGAUGUUACUCAUCUCUUGGGAGUUGUGGAAAGAGAGGAAUGCACGAAUCUUUCGUAACAAUGCCGUAUGAGUGGGUGUCACCGUUGCUAGGAUUAAAGAGGAGACCUCGCUUUGGAGCAUUGCAGGAGCCAAGCACUUGAGUAAUGUAAUGCCGUGA